rnacentral:rRNA from 1 species
GAUGAACGCUGGCGGCGUGCUUAAUACAUGCAAGUCGAACGGAGAUAGUAGCAAUAUUAUCUUAGUGGCGAACGGGUGAGUAACGCGUUGGUGACCUGCCCCGAAGAGAGGGAUAGCAGUUCGAAAGGACUGAUAAUACCUCAUGUGGUUGAAGGUUUUAGAAUCCUUCAACUAAACGGAUUUAUUCGCUUCGGGAGGGGCCUGCGUCCCAUCAGCUAGUUGGUAGGGUAAUGGCCUACCAAGGCGAUGACGGGUAGGGGACCUGAGAGGGUGGCCCCCCACAAUGGAACUGAAACACGGUCCAUACACCUACGGGUGGCUG